CUCCCUGCUGGAAACCUGAAGUCCAGAAGGGUGUCCCCUUCUGCCCCCUCAGGUUCCGGCUGUGACCCAGGCCUGACCCCUGCAGGAAAGCUCUCCCAUGCACAGAAGGCGCGCUGCUUGGGGGCCCAUGACUGCUGAUUCUCACUGUAAGCUUGACUGGAUCUGGGGCCGACUUCAGAGACCAGCAUGGAUGGGAUCUGUGAAAACACUUCCAGGGUCUUUCUCAGAACCGGAAACUGUUUUAAGCUACAUUGACUGACCAACAAGCAAGACCCUGGGAUCCGCCGUCUCCGUUCCUCAGGCAUGGAGCACACGGGUCUUAGGGACCCAAAUGCGAGUCCUCCGGCUGGGCAGCAAGCACUUUUCCUACUGAGCCCGCUCCAAGCCCCACAGCCUAGGCACAGCACCCUGAAUGUGCACAGCACCCUGAAUGUGCACAGCGCCCUCUCGCUGAAUCAACAGCCACCGGCUACAUGCAGCUAUCCGAAUUUAAAUUAACUCUAAUUAAAAAUUCACAUUCUCAUUUCA